AACGGCUGUAAGUAGCAUAUCUUGAUGAAGAUUGGGCAGCAUGAAGGUGGCCUAUGCUCAAGGUUUGGGAUCGAGAAGGUGGAGUACGAAGAUCAGCUCCGGAGAUCUCUAUAGAGGAGUUAUUGGCUUGACAGGCACCAAUCUUUAUCACUAUGAAGACACCGUUACUCCUGUUGGGGGCGCUGUUGGUCACUCUGAGGACUUGGAGAUGGCGAGGAUGUUGGUGGAAGGCUUUAUUGUUUAUAAUGUUUAGAAUGAUUGCGUCACAAAUCUAAAGCUGAUGAAGUUUGGAAAAAGAAAAGAUAAAGAAGGAGAAGACGCUCUGGCAACUUGUCCAAGAAAAAAAAACAAAAACUAAAGAUGCGAGGGAGUAGUUGUAUUAUGCUUCAUGGAGUGAAGAACAUGCACACGAUGGGGCGGCGUCUUGAUAUUUUUGUAAUAAAUUUAAAACAAUCGCACUAAACCGAACCGAACUGUUGAUAUUUUCCAAUUGCAAUUUAAUUUGAGGGUGGAAUCGCAUCGUGCCCACCACUAAAGUU